rnacentral:tRNA from 1 species
UAAUUAACUGAUUAUCAAAUAUAAAAUUCCUCCCUUCUAAGGAGGCGGUCAUAGGUUCGAAUCCUAU